CAAGUAUUCCCUCCGUCCCAAAAUUCUUGUCUUACAUUUGUUUAGAUACGGAUGUAUCUAACACUAAAAUGUAAUUAGAUACAUCCGUAUUUAGACAAAUUUAAGACAAAAAUUUUGGGACGGAGGGAGUAGUAC
rnacentral:pre_miRNA from 1 species